rnacentral:rRNA from 1 species
UACGUAGGGGGCUAGCGUUGUCCGGAAUCAUUGGGCGUAAAGAGCGUGUAGGCGGCCCGGUAAGUCCGCUGUAAAAGUCAAAGGCUCAACCUUUGAAUGUCAGUGGAUACUGCCGGGCUAGAGUCCGGAAGAGGCGAGUGGAACUCCUGGUGUAGCGGUGAAAUGCGUAGAUAUCGAGAGGAACACCUGCGGCGAAGGCGGGUUGCUGGGCUGACACUGACGCUGAUGCGCGAAAGCUAGGGGAGCGAACGGG